UUUUGUCAAUUGACCUAAUGCACUCCCCCCUACCUAGUAUGAUAAGAUUCUGAUUAUCUAUCGUAUCUAAACUGCUUGCAUUUUGUAUUCAAACAAAACCUAUGCCAAGCUGUUAAUUAAUUGAUCAUAUGUUUAAUAAUAGUUGAAUGGUAUCCGGAUUCUUAUAACGCCAUCGAAGACUUACGAAUCUGUUUGCAAUGAAACUGAAACAAUCUGCUAUCGUUACUAUCGUUGUUGACUACAGGAUCGUUUAUAACAAAAUUACCACAUCAUGGAGUGAACACUCCUGACAUAUUGACAGCCUAUGGUAUAUUAUUGCUGCCAUCGACGUUUUACAGCAAUCAGAUCCAUCAGGAAUGCUGUUUGAUGCUUUACGAGUCCUAUAAAAGAACGUAUUUACGAAACUGUGAAGAUAUCGUACAUUGUAUGGUUACGAGUUUUAACCGCGAAGAAGGAGCUACUGAUUUAUCAGAUGAAAUAACAUUAUGUAAAAAUGUAUCUAACCUUGUGAAAUUCGUCGCGAUGUUUUGUUACAGGUAUGUAUACCUACGAAUGAAAAAAGAGACCAUUCUGCGGAUAUUAUUACAAUUCUGGUGAAUGUUUUCGGUAUAGCAGGAAAUUAUUCGUUGAUGAAUAUAGGAAAUUAUUAGCUGAUCGAUUUCUGACUCAAAUUACCUUGGUACAAUACUGAUAAAUAAAUUAGGAAU